rnacentral:rRNA from 1 species
ACGAACGCUGGCGGCGUGCUUAACACAUGCAAGUCGAACGCUGAAGCUCAGCUUUUGUUGGGUGGAUGAGUGGCGAACGGGUGAGUAACACGUGAGUAACCUGCCCCCUUCUUUGGGAUAACGCCCGGAAACGGGUGCUAAUACUGGAUAUUCACUGGUCUUCGCAUGGGGGUUGGUGGAAAGGGUUUUUCUGGUGGGGGAUGGGCUCGCGGCCUAUCAGCUUGUUGGUGGGGUGAUGGCCUACCAAGGCUUUGACGGGUAGCCGGCCUGAGAGGGUGACCGGUCACAUUGGGACUGAGAUACGGCCCAGACUCCUACGGGAGGCAGCAGUGGGGAAUAUUGCACAAUGGGCGCAAGCCUGAUGCAGCGACGCCGCGGGAGGGAUGGAGGCCUUCGGGUUGUGAACCUCUUUCGCUCAUGGUCAAGCCGCAACAAUGGUUGUGGUGAGGGUAGUGGGUAAAGAAGCGCCGGCUAACUACGUG